UACGAAGGGGGCUAGCGUUGUUCGGAAUUACUGGGCGUAAAGCGUAUGCAGGCGGAUCGUUAAGUCGGGUGUGAAAUCCCGAGGCUCAACCUCGGAACUGCCUUCGAUACUGGCGAUCUUGAGUCCGGGAGAGGUGAGUGGAACUCCGAGUGUAGAGGUGAAAUUCGUAGAUAUUCGGAAGAACACCAGUGGCGAAGGCGGCUCACUGGACUGGUAUUGACGCUGAGGUGCGAAAGCGUGGGGAGCAAACAGG
rnacentral:rRNA from 1 species